rnacentral:tRNA from 2 species
GCCGGAGUGGCGGAACUGGCAGACGCGCUGGACUCAAAAUCCAGUGUCCGUUGAGGACGUGUGGGUUCGAACCCCACCUCCGGUACUA